rnacentral:rRNA from 1 species
UCGAGAAUCUUCGGCAAUGGGCGCAAGCCUGACCGAGCGACGCCGCGUGCGGGAUGAAGGCCCUUGGGUUGUAAACCGCUGUCAGAGGGGAUGAAGUGCGGGUGAGUAAUUCAUAAUCUCAUCCGUUUGACAUAGCCUCAGAGGAAGCACGGGCUAAGUUCGUGCCAGCAGCCGCGGUAAUACGAACUGUGCAAACGUUAUUCGGAAUCACUGGGCUUAAAGGGUGCGUAGGCGGUCAUUUAGGUAGGGUGUGAAAGCCCCCGGCUCAACCGGGGAAUUGCGCCCUAAACCGGGUGACUGGAGUGAGAUAGGGGUGUGUGGAACUUCCGGUGGAGCGGUGAAAUGUGUUGAUAUCGGAAGGAACGCCGGUGGCGAAAGCGACACACUGGGUCUCAACUGACGCUGAGGCACGAAAGCCAGGGGAGCAAACGG